UUCCUCUCUCCCUCCCUCUCUCUUCAGUCUCAAGCUGAUAUUUCCAAUAUUCCUGAUAAUACAAGUGAAGCACAGCAAGCCCUAGAGAGAGCCUUGCUACACUCGGAGGAACUCUAUCACUUCUUACAGAAACACAUACAAGAAUCACAAGAGAUCAGCGAUCAGUUAGUUGAGUUUGUUAAGGAACUUCUCAGCGCCAACAGAGCUUUGGUAGAGGCUUUUGAGAGAGCUAAGAAGAGACAGCAGUUUGAAAAGAGACAGCUGAAACAAGAAAUCCUGACCCUCACUAACAGACUGCACCAAAGCACAUGAUAAAAGGAGAGAGAGAGAUAAUGAAUAAUUAUUAUAAUAAAUAAAUAAUAAUAAUUACUUUUUUAUUAAUUAAAGCCUUAUUCAUAAUAAUAAUAAUAAUCAUUAAUUAGUUAUUUAAUCUCUCUUAAUUUGUAGUUUUACAUUUAGUUACUGUAGUUGUAUCAUUUAUAUUAUUAGUUAAAGUAAUUAAUUAUUAUUUGUAAUUGUAAAGUAGAAUGUGUGAUUUAUUAUAAUAUUAAUACAUUGUUACUAUAUUUAUUUAUGACAAAUAUUUUAAACAGUUUUAUUACUCUUUUACUUGUAAUUUUAAUCAUAAUACUGUUAUUAUUAUUAUUAUUGUUAUUAUUAUUAUUAUUGUUGCUGUUAUCAUUGUUGUCAUAUUUUA